ensembl:lncRNA
GCAUGUGUUGUACAAGCUAGAGCGCAUCAGGGCAACAGUGUGGUUCCGGAAGUAAUGGUGCGUUCGAAUAUUCUCUGCGAACCGACUCGGAUCUCGGAUCUGAUGCCACGCCCACACUUCAAGCGUUUUAUUAUUUUGCUCGGUCGUUGGAGGAAAACAUGGACGCCACCCGGAAAGCUGUUGUCGCGGUAGCAUUGGCAGAGGACCAGGCGAUCCAAUAUAAGUAGGCUAUAGGCCAUAGUCAAGUCAAGUCAAGUUUAUUUAUAUAGCACAUUUAAAACAACAGUAGUUGACCAAAGUGCUGUACACAAAUACAAUAUAUGUGUGUACAUAGGCAGAGAUACGGACGCAGUAAGGUAUUGCAGUAAUACGAGUGAUUGAAAUUACCAUUUAAACAACCAAAGUGGUCCAAGCACAAUGAAAACAGUUCAUACUUCAAGUCACAAUGGGCGCAGCCAUCUUGAAUUCUGUCUCGGAAUUUCGCUCGGUCAACACUGAGUUCAACCGAGAUGGCGAGAUCGCCGUCCUCGGAAAAGGGGCGUGUUUGUGCGUGUCGCUAGGCAACGUCCUCGGACCUCCGAGACGGAUGGAUAUUAAAACGCACCAUAAACAUCCCGUUCAUUUUCACCGUCGAGAUUUUGAUUAAAAGCCUUAAUGUCGUAACCAUCCAAAUGAUACCUACCACGCGCCGUUAUAUCGUGAAUUGAUGGUAUUUUCUCCUGCUGAAGCCACACGUUAAUCGAGGCAACAUCUAGUUUUUUAGAAAAGCAUGUUUUAUUCGCGAUCAUUGAAAUAACUACCCUACCCAUAAAUCCUGUAGUGUGACACGACGUCUCUGAUUGGUGGUGCUCGACUUAACUUACCAGGAAACGUUUACUGGACACGCGAGAGUAAGUAGGCGAGAGUUUGAAUCUAGGCAGGAAGCUGUGUUCAUCCCUGUUCAUGUUCAGUGGUGUUUGUUCGGUUAAGCUGUAGUGUAGUUCUCAAGGGCCACCAACUUGAAUGUUUUUCAUUCCUCCCUGUUUUUCACACACAAUUUCAUUUAGUCAAGGUAAUGAGUAUAAGACUACAACUUUUCAAUAUUCAAGAUAUUUAUUGUCGUUUGCACAGCAGAAGUACAGGUACAUUGGAAUAAUUGUGUGAUUCUUGGAGUCCGUUUUAAAAAAAAAAACAUCUUUAUUUUAAGAGGGAUAGAAUAUAACAGUAAGCAUUCAGGAUGGUAGGCUUUUUCUAGCACAGUUCAAGUACUUACCUUCAUAAGAACCAAGUUGUUUUUUACACCCAUGAUGCUGAGGUUAUAUUUCUAAUGAUUUACCUUUUUCUCUUAGAUCAAGCCUUUGUGAUUCAUCACCAGUUAUGAAAAAAGAAAGUUAAUCUAUGGGCUGGAGCAGCUGUCUCUGAGAGGAAAAGAAAAAAAUUAUAGCUCAAAGAACAAAAGCAAUGGCAUCACUUAUAAUUACAUCUGUAACUACUUAUAAAGUACUAUGUUGCACGUGCAGAUGCGACCACUUCUUUUUUCUGGGCAGCUGAUUUGGCUUUUGAGACACGGACCAUCUUGUAGAGACAAGGCUCAAUCAAAGACCAAAAAGCCAUCAGGUGGUCGUAGCUGGCAAAUCUAUUCACAAAAGACAUCAAAUAAAAAAGUUAAAUUGAAAGUGUACAUCACAAGGAUACAUUGUUACCAAAAUAAUGUCAACAGUAACUACUAAGAUUACGAUUUUAUAUAUAUAUAUAUAUAUAUAUAUAUAUACAGUAUAUGUAGCAGGGUGACCUGUAUUUUUCCCCUAUACCUGUUUCAGCCUCAGUCACCUCCCUUUUACCUGUAUUGUGACUUGUGCCACUACCCAAUGGUUGCUCUACCCGGAUGGCACCAUAACUAAUCCCUGGCACUCUGAGCGAAAGAGUAGUGUUCCUGUCCGGGCCGUAUCUUUGGGAGGCGCUGUUUGGUGGUUUGCCGUGAACUUGCAUGCAGAUAAGUAGGGUGUUACCUGCUCAAUUCAUACAUUUUUACAAUUGUUUAUUAAUAGUAUUUUUGUUCUAGGACCAGCAUUGGUGGAGUUGGAGACGGUCUCAUUCUGGCGCUGUCGCUUCAGUGCUCCUAUUUUCAUCUCAUAGAAUAAUAACUUAUGACUUUUUUCAACUAUUUAAAAAUAAACUUUUGUAGACUUGACCUGGAAACACGUCUCUGUAAGCCUUUACACAAAUCUGUAUUAUAAAUGUUGUUUGUCUCUAUACUAUUGGUGCGUCAUAUUCAUAUAUAUAAAUUCUGAUAAGACAUGGACAUCUCCAACUCCAAUUACACCAUCUCUCAACAUGAACUACUUGUGUGCUAUUUAUCAUUCACAUAGACCUAUUAAGAAAUUAUUUGGUAAGUUAAUCUGUAAUGUAAAGCUAUUUUCUAACCAACAAUGUCCCUGCCUGACACAUAUCCCCGUCACGUAGGGACUAGGCUAAUAUCAUAGGCUAAUACAAAAAAUUGUAGUGACUUCCCUUGUGUAAAAUCGGAUGUCUGCGUCGGAGCCAGCAAACCGUUGCAGUCCAAACUCUCGCUGGAGACGUAACUCCUGUAGCUCCUUUCUCAGCUCCUCUACUUCAUUUGAGACGAUUUCAUUAGCGGAUGCGGACAUAUCCAUGGCAGCCGGUUCAGGGACAGAGCAGUAGUCUUGAUCGUUGAAAAGGAGAUCAACUUCAUCUUCCGGAGGGGCAGGUUCGACGAACCGAUCCACUCUAUCCCACACGCCGCGCCUUGGGGUUUCGACUGUAUACUGGUUCCACUCAAAAAGGGUCGGUACGGCACCUUUUGUAAGUCUCUUUCGACCCUGAAGAGUAGUUGGCUCAAUCAUCUUGUCAGAAAUAAAGUGUCUGCUACAGACCUUAUAGUGAGUGGUGAUGACAUAUUUAUCCCGGCGUAUGUUUACAAUCCAUUCACUCCUCACGUCAGUUUGGCUCGGAAAGCCAUGGAAACUUAAUACCCCGUUGAAUUUGGCUGACGCUGUACAGUGGGGGACACACCAGUGCUCGGCGUAGGUUUUCUCCUGCCUAUGAAAAUGGACCGUUUUUCAAUGUCUGCGGUCUUGAUUCAUGUUUAAAGUGUAUCAACGUCAGCUGGUUAGCGCGAUGAACCAGACCGGAACCGGCGGGGCUGUAUUAUUUGAAACAGGAAGUACGUCACACAGCUUAGUGCAUACAGCCUAUUGACGCUGAGCCCCACCAAAGGCUUUGUUGAAAAACUGUUAGUGGCCCAAGUUUUAGUGGAAGAUCAGCCCCAUAAAACCAUGCCCCUCAGCAUCUUCAAUCCGGACAACAGUGCCGUAACCAUUAAAAAGGGGGCCAUCGUGGGACUCCUCCAGCCGGCAAAGGUUCUGCAGCCUGCAAACGCGGUUGCCCACAACCAGCCUGAACAGACUGUCAGCAGCCCCCCUUCGGUCCCCCAGCAGCUACAGGAGCUCUAUGCCCAGAGCUCUACUGAGCUUAACCAAGAGGAGCAGCUGCAGCUAGCUCAGCUGCUGUGCACCUAUGAAAAUGUGUUUUCCACAGGACCCACUGACCUCGGCAGGACCAGCCUGGUUCAGCAUGACAUCGUAUCCAUGCCAGGCCUUCCAGUCAAGCAACCACCACGCCGGAUGGCGUUGGAAAAACAACAGGAUGCUGACCAACAGAUACAACAGAGCCUGGGGACAGGGCUGGCCCACUGCAGCAACAGCAGUUGGGCAUUGCCCAUAGUGAUGGAUACGCUGGACACCCAAGUGGUUCAGCACCCUUGACCUCGCGGCCGGCUACUGGCAAGUCGAGCUGACCCCAAGAGCACGCAAAGCAGCAGCAUUCUGCACCAAAAAUGGACUGUUUGAAGGGAAUGUCAUGCCAUUUGGACUGUGUAAUGCUCCGACGACAUUCCAGCGCUUGAUGGACCGGGUGCUGGCCGGCAUGCAGUGGGAGACCUGCCUAGUGUACCUGGACGACAUCAUCGUUCUGGGCAGCGAUGUUCCGCAGAUGCUGCAGCGGCAGGGCCAGGUAUUCAGUCGUCUCUACCAGGCCGAACUGCAACUAAAACCGUCUAAGUGCUGCCUCUUCCGCCGCCAAGUAGCCUACCUGAGUCACAUUGUUUCAAAGUGCAGGACUGUCCAACACCAACGUCACUCCAAGAUGUCCUUCACUUUAUGGACCUUGCAUCUUACAAUCGGUGGUUCGUUAAAGACUUUCCUUCCAUUGCAGACCCUCUCCAUGCCCUGAUCAAAAAACAUGCCCAGUUUCGUUGGUCUGAGGAAUGCCAGGCGGCAUUUAAAUAACUCAAAUGUCUGCGCCAAUCCUGGGCUACCCACUCAACCAAGGCAACAUGAUACUGGACACAGACGCCAGCGACGUCGGUAUCGGCGCUGUUCUCACACAAGUUCAGCAGGGUGUGGAACGUGUGCUAGCCUAUGGAAGCCGCAAGCUGUCCACAACUGAAC